CCGAGUUUACAACUCCCAAACCCCUGUGAACAUUCCCUAUGUUGCCUCGGCGGAUCAGCCCGCGCCCCGGUAAAACGGGACGGCCCGCCGCAGGAACCCUAAACUCUGUUUCUAUAGUGGAACCUUCUGAGUAAAAACCAUAAUAAAUCA
rnacentral:misc_RNA from 1 species